rnacentral:tRNA from 1 species
GGGUCGGCUCGCCUAUUGGUGUAGGCAGCGCUCUGUAAAAGCGCCCUUUAUUGAUUGCAGGUUCAAUUCCUGCCCGACCCA